AGGUGAACAAGGAUUGUCUGAGACUGUACAUGCCUCUGUGGUUAUGAGAGAGUCCUGGUUCACCUCCCCCAGAGGAGACAACUACACCUGACCACACUGCUACCAACGAUGUGGUAAUAGACUCUUCGGCCCAACAAUAUUUCACACCUCGAGUAUCCUUUUUGAGCAAAUCAACAGCUCUAAGCGCUAGUGGGCAGACCUGCAGUGUACGUUAUACAACUGACCCACUAUUUACUGGAUUGUCGGAUGAGAUUACAUCAAUGCUUGACACACCAUUUAGCAUACCAGAACUUAGUGCUGAUAUACAACGUACUACUUUGAGCUCUCUCUGCUGGUCAAUAACAGUCUCCAAGUUGUUGACCGUAUCAGUUUCAGUGCUCAAGCUAGUAAGUAAUGUCUUCAUCUUGAUAAAUAUAUGCUAAUUUUAUUGUAAUUAUGGGCACUGGGCUACCAGGCUGGGUGAUCUCCCUUAUUGUAAUUGCAGUGGUUUUUACUGUCGUAAUCGUUGCUGUAAUAAUUGCUUGCAUAGCCAUGAGCUAGAAAAGGUGAGUAACUCAAUUUAACUAGUAUGUGAUCGUAUAGAUGAUUGUGAUCUAGAUAAUGCGUCAGAUCCUACGCGAAGAUAUUACUAUCAUUUGGCAUUACCGAUCUAAGCGGAUGUCACGUGGCCAUUAUUUAUCUCUGUCACGCUAGAGGCUGGGAGUCAUGUGACAGCAGUUAGGUUUUUGGGGAGUACUGAGAGAGGGGCCCCUGCGAUUAGCAUUAAACACG